UAGGGAAUAUUGCACAAUGGGCGAAAGCCUGAUGCAGCCAUGCCGCGUGUGUGAAGAAGGCCUUAGGGUUGUAAAGCACUUUCAGUAGGGAGGAAAAAGCUGGGUUAAUAUCCCAGUUAUAUGACGUUACCUACAGAAGAAGCACCGGCUAACUCCGUGCCAGCAGCCGCGGUAAUACGGAGGGUGCGAACGUUAAUCGGAAUUACUGGGCGUAAAGCGCGCGUAGGCGGUUCAUUAAGUGGGAUGUGAAAGCCCCAGGCUCAACCUGGGAACUGCAUUCCAAACUGACGAACUAGAGUACGAGAGAGGGGGGUAGAAUUCAGAGUGUAGCGGUGAAAUGCGUAGAUAUUCUGAGGAAUACCGGUGGCGAAGGCGGCCCCCUGGCUUGAUACUGACGCUCAGGUGCGAAAGCGUGGGGAGCAAACAGG
rnacentral:rRNA from 1 species